UCCUUCAAAAGCAAAGAGUUGUAUCCAGUGAUGAAAUUUCCUCUGAGGAAAGCACAAACAAGAAGGGAUCAGAUGAAGAGAUAGCCAGCACUCCUCCAAGCUCCAAUGAAUCUGGUUCAGAUUAAGGGCCCACAGAGGACAUGGUGUCACGAAUCAUUCUUACAAAUCAGUGUUGUGAUGUUGGGACAGCAUUGAAGUGUUUAUUAAAUAUGGGAAGAUUUGUACAUUUCUAUGUGUAAUUGAAGCUAGUACCUGCUU